rnacentral:rRNA from 1 species
UACGUAGGGGGCAAGCGUUGUCCGGAAUCAUUGGGCGUAAAGAGCGUGUAGGUGGCUCGGUAAGUCCGCUGUGAAAGUCCAGGGCUCAACCCUGGAAAGCCGGUGGAAACUGUCGAGCUCGAGUCCGGAAGAGGCGAGUGGAAUUCCUGGUGUAGCGGUGAAAUGCGCAGAUAUCGGGAAGAACACCCGUGGCGAAGGCGGUUCUCUGGGACGGUACUGACGCUGAGACGCGAAAGCGUGGGGAGCGAACAGG